AGAGUUUGAUCAUGGCUCAGGAUGAACGCUAGCGGCAGGCCUAAUACAUGCAAGUCGAACGGUCAGUAGCAAUACUGAUAGUGGCGCACGGGUGCGUAACACGUAACUAACCUACCCACAACUGGGGGAUAGCCCGCCGAAAGGCGGAUUAAUACCGCAUAAGCUCUUUAGCUGGCAUCAGCUGAUUAGUAAAGAUUUAUUGGUUGUGGAUGGGGUUGCGGGUCAUUAGCUAGUUGGUUGGGUAACGGCUGACCAAGGCAACGAUGACUAGGGGAGCUGAGAGGCUGGUCCCCCACACGGGCACUGAGAUACGGGCCCGACUCCUACGGGAGGCAGCAGUAGGGAAUAUUGGGCAAUGGGCGAGAGCCUGACCCAGCCAUGCCGCGUGCAGGAAGAAGGCUUUCUGAGUCGUAAACUGCUUUUGACAGGGAAGAAUAAGCUGUACGUGUACAGUGAUGACGGUACCUGCAGAAUAAGCACCGGCUAACUCCGUGCCAGCAGCCGCGGUAAUACGGAGGGUGCGAGCGUUGUCCGGAUUUAUUGGGUUUAAAGGGUGCGUAGGCGGCCCGUUAAGUCCGGGGUGAAAGCCCGUUGCUCAACAACGGAACUGCCCUGGAUACUGGCGGGCUUGAGUACAGACGAGGUUGGCGGAAUGGACCGAGUAGCGGUGAAAUGCAUAGAUACGGUCCAGAACCCCGAUUGCGAAGGCAGCUGACUAGGCUGUUACUGACGCUGAGGCACGACAGCGUGGGGAGCGAACAGGAUUAGAUACCCNNGUAGUCC
rnacentral:rRNA from 1 species